AGUUCGGAUCGGAGUCUGCAACCCGACUCCGUGAAGCUGGAUUCGCUAGUAAUCGCGCAUCAGCCAUGGCGCGGUGAAUACGUUCCCGGGCCUUGUACACACCGCCCGUCAAGCCAUGGGAGCCGGGAGUGCCUGAAGUCCGUAGCCUAACCGCGAAGGGGGCGCGGCCGAAGGUGGGUUCGAUAAUUGGGGUGAAGUCGUAACAAGGUAAC
rnacentral:rRNA from 1 species